GCACAAGCGGUGGAUGAUGUGGUUAAUUCGAUGCAACGCGAAAACCUUACCACCUUUGACAUGUACGGAACCCUUUAGAGAUAGAGGGGUGCUCGAAAGAGAGCCGUAGCACAGGUGCUGCAUGGCUGUCGUCAGCUCGUGUCGUGAGAUGUUGGGUUAAGUCCCGCAACGAGCGCAACCCUUGUCAUUAGUUGCUACAUUCAGUUGGGCACUCUAAUGAGACUGCCGGUGACAAGCCGGAGGAAGGUGGGGAUGACGUCAAGUCCUCAUGGCCCUUAUAGGUGGGGCUACACACGUCAUACAAUGGCUGGUACAAAGGGUUGCCAACCCGCGAGGGGGAGCCAAUCCCAUAAAGCCAGUCGUAGUCCGGAUCGUAGUCUGCAACUCGACUACGUGAAGUCGGAAUCGCUAGUAAUCGUGGAUCAGAAUGUCACGGUGAAUACGUUCCCGGGUCUU
rnacentral:rRNA from 1 species